AUACGUAGGGGGCGAGCGUUGUCCGGAAUGAUUGGGCGUAAAGGGCGCGUAGGCGGCCCGGUAAGUCUGGAGUGAAAGUCCUGUUUUUAAGAUGGGAAUUGCUUUGGAUACUGUCGGGCUUGAGUGCAGGAGCGGUAAGUGGAAUUCCCAGUGUAGCGGUGAAAUGCGUAGAGAUUGGGAGGAACACCAGUGGCGAAGGCGACUUACUGGACUGUAACUGACGCUGAGGCGCGAAAGUGUGGGGAGCAAACAGGAUUAGAUACCCUGGUAGUCCACACUGUAAACGAUGAAUGCUAGGUGUAGGGGGUAUCGACCCCUUCUGUGCCGCAGUCAACACAAUAAGCAUUCCGCCUGGGGAGUACGGCCGCAAGGUUGAAACUCAAAUGAAUUGACGGGG
rnacentral:rRNA from 1 species